UGCGUAGGCGGGUCGUUAAGUCAGGGGUGAAAUCCUGGAGCUCAACUCCAGAACUGCCUUUGAUACUGGCGACCUAGAGUCCGGAAGAGGUGAGUGGAACUCCUAGUGUAGAGGUGGAAUUCGUAGAUAUUAGGAAGAACACCAGUGGCGAAGGCGGCUCACUGGUCCGGUACUGACGCUGAGGUGCGAAAGCGUGGGGAGCAAACA
rnacentral:rRNA from 1 species